rnacentral:lncRNA from 1 species
GGAAAGAGCAAAGGACUUCAAAUUAAAAGUACAACCACAAGGACUGGAAAGUCGAGAUUUUUUUCAACUCCACCGGAAGUGGAGAUCCAAAUGAAGUCAAUGCAAGAGCAAGUCAACGUAAAGAUGAAAAAUUGGAUCGAUUGGAAGUGCAGUUGCAUGAAACUCGAGAAAUUCUGAACACCUUGAUUGAGCGUUUUAGACAACAAGGAUUACAAGCCUCAACGUCGACUACUUCUAAUAAUGUUGGAGUAUAAAA